CGGACGGGUGAGUAAUGUCUGGGGAACUGCCCGAUGGAGGGGGAUAACUACUGGAAACGGUAGCUAAUACCGCAUAACGUCGCAAGACCAAAGAGGGGGACCUUCGGGCCUCUUGCCAUCGGAUAUGCCCAGAUGGGAUUAGCUAGUAGGUGGGGUAACGGCUCACCUAGGCGACGAUCCCUAGCUGGUCUGAGAGGAUGACCAGCCACACUGGAACUGAGACACGGUCCAG
rnacentral:rRNA from 1 species